UCUCAUGUGCAAAGUGUUCCCUCCCAGUCUUGGGUCGAUAGUUAUGCAUUGGUUUGAUGCCUUUAAGGAGGGGUCAAUUGGGUCCUUUGAGUAGCUGACGAGAGCGUUUGGCUCUAGAUUUGUAAUGUCCCGUCAGUUUAAAAAAAAAAGAAAAAGUGUAAGGUCAUAUUUUUUAUGGUUCCCACGUGCCCCACCUAACCCCACUACCCACCACUCCUUUUUCACUCAUCUUUUCAUUCCUUUGGCCGGCUCACUCCCUCACUUCUCUUUUCUUUCUUUUUCUUCUUUUUCAUUUUCGGAAGAACACUCUCUUCACUCCUUCAAACUCUCCACUGGCACUUCCACACCACCACCAUCACCAUUUCCACCAUCAUUUUUCCGGCAAGAUCACUGGAAAAUUCUUGGGAACCCAUAAACACCUUCACAUCCUUUUUUUUUGAGGUUCUAGCUAAUCUCCUUGGAGCUUGGAGAAUUAGGAUUUUGCAGUUGCGAGAGUAGGCAACAAUCUUUUGAGACAAAUUUUUGGUGGCUAACAGUAGUUAGACUAACUACUGAUGGAGGCUGAAUUUUUGUAAUGGAGAUAUUAGAUGUUGUACAUCUUAGAAUAAGCUUGACUCAUUUUUUUGUAUAUUAUAGUGAUUGUGACUUUAUUCCCAUUGAUGGGACAAGCUGUUGAUAUGUAAUUAUUUAUUCAGACCUCUAUUAUUUUGUGGCCAAUGGUCAUUGUAAUUAAUGCUUAGAGCUCUGACUUACUUUGAGAGUAUAUUCAAUGGAAUUAUUAUGAUAA